AUUGAACGCUGGCGGCAGGCCUAACACAUGCAAGUCGAACGAGUGGCGGACGGGUGAGUAAUGUCUGGGAAACUGCCUGAUGGAGGGGGAUAACUACUGGAAACGGUAGCUAAUACCGCAUACCAUCAGAUAUGCCCAUAUGGGAUUAGCUUGGUGGCGGGGUAAAGGCUCACCAAGGCGACGCCCCCUAGCUGGUGUGAGAGGAUGACCAGCCAAAAUGGGAAUGAGACACGGUCCAGACGCCUAAGGGAUGCAGCAGUGGGGAAGAUUGCAAAAUGGGAGCAAGCCUGAUGCAGCCAUGCCGCGUGUAUGAAGAAGGCCUUCGGGUUGUAAAGUACUUUCAGCGGGGAGGCGUUACCCGCAGAAGAAGCACCGGCUAACUCCGUGCCAGCAGCCGCGGUAAUAC
rnacentral:rRNA from 1 species